rnacentral:rRNA from 1 species
UACGGAGGAUCCGAGCGUUAUCCGGAUUUAUUGGGUUUAAAGGGUGCGUAGGCGGCUUAUUAAGUCAGGGGUGAAAGACGGUAGCUUAACUAUCGCAGUGCCUUUGAUACUGAUGAGCUUGAAUAUACUUGAGGUAGGCGGAAUGUGACAAGUAGCGGUGAAAUGCAUAGAUAUGUCACAGAACACCGAUUGCGAAGGCAGCUUACUAAAGUAUGAUUGACGCUGAGGCACGAAAGCGUGGGGAUCAAACAGG